rnacentral:rRNA from 1 species
GAUCCUGGCUCAGGAUGAACGCUGGCGGCGUGCUUAACACAUGCAAGUCGAACGAGAGAAGGAUCGGUGCUUGCACUGAUCCGAUCGAGUGGCGGACGGGUGAGUAACGCGUGGGUAACCUGCCUCAUACAGGGGAAUAACAGUUGGAAACGGCUGCUAAAACCGCAUAAGCGCACGGUAUCGCAUGAUACAGUGUGAAAAACUCCGGUGGUAUGAGAUGGACCCGCGU